rnacentral:sRNA from 1 species
UUGUAGCCCAGAUGGAAGUGAAAAGCUCGGAGGUAAAAAAAACUAUUUUUCUUGUUAUAAAAGAGCGACCAAAGGAAGCUCCUUUUAUGACUUAGAAAAAUGUUUUUUUUAUCGAGGACUUGUAACGUACAGCUGGAAUAGCU